GAUGAACGCUGGCGGCGUGCCUAAUACAUGCAAGUCGAGCGAACGGACGAGAAGCUUGCUUCUCUGAUGUUAGCGGCGGACGGGUGAGUAACACGUGGAUAACCUACCUAUAAGACUGGGAUAACUUCGGGAAACCGGAGCUAAUACCGGAUAAUAUUUUGAACCGCAUGGUUCAAAAGUGAAAGACGGUCUUGCUGUCACUUAUAGAUGGAUCCGCGCUGCAUUAGCUAGUUGGUAAGGUAACGGCUUACCAAGGCAACGAUGCAUAGCCGACCUGAGAGGGUGAUCGGCCACACUGGAACUGAGACACGGUCCAGACUCCUACGGGAGGCAGCAGUAGGGAAUCUCCCGCAAUGGGCGAAAGCCUGACGGAGCAACGCCGCGUGAGUGAUGAAGGUCUUCGGAUCGUAAAACUCUGUUAUUAGGGAAGAACAUAUGUGUAAGUAACUGUGCACAUCUUGACGGUACCUAAUCAGAAAGCCACGGCUAACUACGUG
rnacentral:rRNA from 1 species